GAAUGCAACCUCCCGGGGCACAGGUGAGACACUUGGAAGUGUGAGCCUGGAACUUGCAGUGUCCACACCUCGGGGGCCUGGGAACCAGACCUCGGGGCAGGGGCGAGCCCAGGCUGGCAGGAGGGUGGCUAGAGGGAUUUGAGGUGAUGGCUGCGCAGCAGUGUUCACCUGUCAAGCUGGGUCUGCGAGGUCACCAAAUGACUUCAUUCCCUGGGUGCGUGCCUGGGGCAGAGCACCACCGUGUGUCCUUGCUCGGCUGCACCACUGCCCCACAUGCAGCAGGAGCCAGGGGAGCAGAAGCAAAACCUGCAGCAGGAACUGGGGAGGGCAGCCCCCUGCCUCCUGCAGCGUCUCUCCCGCGCCCUCUACUGACAACUGUUAGCGCUGCGCUCACUUGAGGAGACAUGCCUAAGGAAUCCAGUCCCUUCUCCCAGAGCAGGUGGGACGCAAGCUGAGAAGAAUGCUCACCCACCUCAAGGGCCAUAUUUUCCAAGGAUCUCUUCAGCAAUUGCAAAAGAGGAUGAUGGCAGAGGAAGACUUCUCAGAGGGUGCAGCCAAGAGUCGUGUGGAACCAUGGACUGGGAGCCACUGCCAGGCAGCAGAACCAAGGCCCAGUGAAGGCACACUGCCUGCUCCUGGAGUGCUUAGUGUUGUGUGCCACUGAGUUUGGGGUGACUUGUUAUGCAACACUCUUGUGAAAAGGUGGCAGACACUGAAAUUGGCAUCCAGAACGAGGCCCUGGCUGCACCCAAAGGGAAACGGGGGCGUGGGGGGUUCCUUUUGCAUACCCAGUUUCUGUGGCCUUGUGUGCUCCCCGUUUUGUCCCAUGUCU
rnacentral:lncRNA from 1 species